rnacentral:misc_RNA from 1 species
UAAUAAAAGUGUUUAUGGCACUUUUUUAAAAAAAAUCCAUAUCCACCUUGUGUGCAAUGUUUUUUCUUAUUUCUCUUUCCCUCUCGCGGGGUGGAAGAGAAAGAAAGAUUUAUAUAUAAACUCUUUAAUUUUUAACUUACUUUGUCUGAUAACAUAUUAUGAAUAACUUAAUUCAAAAUA